rnacentral:rRNA from 1 species
AUUGAACGCUGGCGGCAGGCCUAACACAUGCAAGUCGAGCGAGCGGCGGACGGUGGCGUAAUGUAUGGGGACUGCCCGAUAGAGGGGGAUAACUACUGGAAACGGUCGCUAAUACCGCAUACUAUCGGAUAACCCAUAUGGGAUUAGAGAGUAGGUGAGGUAAUGGCUCACCUAGGCCACGCUCCCUAGCUGGUCUGAGAGGGUGAUCAGCCAACGGGGGACUGAGACACGGCCCAUCCUCCUACGGAGGCAGCAGUGGGGAAUAUUGCACAAUGGGCGCAAGCCUGAUGCAGCCAUGCCGCGUGUAUGAAGAAGGCCCUAGGGUUGUAAAGUACUGUCAGUCGGGAGGCGUUACCGACAGAAGAAGCACCGGCUAACUCCGUGCCAGCAGCCGCGGUAAUAC